AGAGUGGGCCGGGUGGCCGCUGGUGUGGGUGUUUUCACCCCACUGGAGGAAAGUCCGGGCUCCAUUAAGCAAGACGCCGGGUAACGCCCGGCGGGGGUAACCCCAGGGACAGUGCCACAGAAAGCAAACCGCCGGACAGCAGGCUUCCGGUAAGGGUGAAAGGGUGCGGUAAGAGCGCACCGCGUUUCUCCGGUAACGGAGACGGCAUGGUAAACCCCGUCUGGAGCAAGACCAAAUAGGGAAACGUUUCAGGGCUGCUCGCCCAGUUUCCGGGUAGGUCGCAUGAGGUGUCUGGUAACAGGCAUCCCAGAUGAAUGGUCACCAAUCGGCCUCUUUUGGCUGAGAACAGAACCCGGCUUACAGGCCCACUCUUUUU
rnacentral:RNase_P_RNA from 1 species